rnacentral:rRNA from 1 species
AGUGAACGCUGGCGGCAGGCCUAAUACAUGCAAGUCGAACGGCAGCACAGCAGAGCUUGCUCUGUGGGUGGCGAGUGGCGGACGGGUGAGGAAUACGUGGGAAUCUGCCCAGUCGUGGGGGAUAACGUAGGGAAACUUACGCUAAUACCGCAUGCGCCUUCGGGGAAAGCCGGGGGACCUUCGGGCCUGGCGCGAUUGGAUGAGCCCAGUCGGAUUAGCUAGUUGGCGGGGUAAAGGCCCACCAAGGCGACGAUCCGUAGCUGGUCUGAGAGGAUGAUCAGCCACACUGGAACUGAGACACGGUCCAGACUCCUACGGGAGGCAGCAGUAGGGAAUAUUGGAUAA